GACGAACGCUGGCGGCGUGCUUAACACAUGCAAGUCGAACGGAAAGGCCCUGCUUUUGUGGGGUGCUCGAGUGGCGAACGGGUGAGUAACACGUGAGUAACAUGCCCUUGACUUUGGGAUAACUCUAGGAAACUGGGGCUAAUACCGGAUAGGAGCUCCUGCUGCAUGGUGGGGGUUGGUAAGUUUCGGUGGUUGGGGAUGGACUCGCGGCUUAUCGGCUUGUUGGUGGGGUAGUGGCUUACCAAGGCUUUGACGGGUAGCCGGCCUGAGAGGGUGACCGGCGACAUUGGGACUGAGAUACGGCCCAGACUCCUACGGGAGGCAGCAGUGGGGAAUAUUGCACAAUGGGCGGAAGCCUGAUGCAGCAACGCCGCGUGCGGGAUGACGGCCUUCGGGUUGUAAACCGCUUUCGCCGGUGACGAAGCGUGAUUGACGGUAAUGGGUAAAGAAGCACCGGCUAACUACGUG
rnacentral:rRNA from 1 species